AGAGUUUGAUCCUGGCUCAGAUUGAACGCUGGCGGCAUGCCUUACACAUGCAAGUCGAACGGCAGCACGAGAGCUUGCUCUUGGUGGCGAGUGGCGAACGGGUGAGUAAUAUAUCGGAACGUACCCUAGAGUGGGGGAUAACGUAGCGAAAGUUACGCUAAUACCGCAUACGAUCUACGGAUGAAAGUGGGGGAUCGCAAGACCUCAUGCUCAUGGAGCGGCCGAUAUCUGAUUAGCUAGUUGGUGGGGUAAAAGCUCACCAAGGCGACGAUCAGUAGCUGGUCUGGGAGGACGACCAGCCACACUGGAACUGAGACACGGUCCAGACUCCUACGGGAGGCAGCAGUGGGGAAUUUUGGACAAUGGGCGCAAGCCUGAUCCAGCAAUGCCGCGUGAGUGAAGAAGGCCUUCGGGUUGUAAAGCCCUUUUGUCAGGGAAGAAACGGUGGACUCUAAUACAGAUCACUAAUGACGGUACCUGAAGAAUAAGCACCGGCUAACUACGUGCCAGCAGCCGCGGUAAUACGUAGGGUGCAAGCGUUAAUCGGAAUUACUGGGCGUAAAGCGUGCGCAGGCGGUUGUGCAAGACAGAUGUGAAAUCCCCGGGCUCAACCUGGGAAUUGCAUUUGUGACUGCACGGCUAGAGUGCGUCAGAGGGGGGUAGAAUUCCACGUGUAGCAGUGAAAUGCGUAGAGAUGUGGAGGAAUACCGAUGGCGAAGGCAGCCCCCUGGGAUAACACUGACGCUCAUGCACGAAAGCGUGGGGAGCAAACAGGAUUAGAUACCCUGGUAGUCCACGCCCUAAACGAUGUCUACUAGUUGUCGGGUCUUAAUUGACUUGGUAACGCAGCUAACGCGUGAAGUAGACCGCCUGGGGAGUACGGUCGCAAGAUUAAAACUCAAAGGAAUUGACGGGGACCCGCACAAGCGGUGGAUGAUGUGGAUUAAUUCGAUGCAACGCGAAAAACCUUACCUACCCUUGACAUGUCUGGAAUCCUUGAGAGAUCAGGGAGUGCUCGAAAGAGAAUCAGAACACAGGUGCUGCAUGGCUGUCGUCAGCUCGUGCCGUGAGAUGUUGGGUUAAGUCCCGCAACGAGCGCAACCCUUGUCAUUAGUUGCUACGAAAGGGCACUCUAAUGAGACUGCCGGUGACAAACCGGAGGAAGGUGGGGAUGACGUCAAGUCCUCAUGGCCCUUAUGGGUAGGGCUUCACACGUCAUACAAUGGUACAUACAGAGGGCCGCCAACCCGCGAGGGGGAGCUAAUCCCAGAAAGUGUAUCGUAGUCCGGAUUGUAGUCUGCAACUCGACUACAUGAAGUUGGAAUCGCUAGUAAUCGCGGAUCAGCAUGUCGCGGUGAAUACGUUCCCGGGUCUUGUACACACCGCCCGUCACACCAUGGGAGCGGGUUUCACCAGAAGUGGGUAGCCUAACCGCAAGGAGGGCGCUCACCACGGUGGGAUUCGUGACUGGGGUGAAGUCGUAACAAGGUA
rnacentral:rRNA from 1 species